rnacentral:rRNA from 1 species
ACAUAGCGUGGGAGAAUGACGGGCUGGACCUCUCGGGGUUACAGCCUUGCUGAAUUAUUCACCCUUGUCUUUUGCGUACUUCUUGUUUCCUUGGUGGGUUCGCCCACCACUAGGACAAACAUAAACCUUUUGUAAUUGCAAUCAGCGUCAGUAACAAAUUAAUAAUUACAACUUUCAACAACGGAUCUCUUGGUUCUGGCAUCGAUGAAGAACGCAGCGAAAUGCGAUAAGUAGUGUGAAUUGCAGAAUUCAGUGAAUCAUCGAAUCUUUGAACGCACAUUGCGCCCUUUGGUAUUCCAAAGGGCAUGCCUGUUCGAGCGUCAUUUGUACCCUCAAGCUUUGCUUGGUGUUGGGCGUCUUGUCUCUAGCUUUGCUGGAGACUCGCCUUAAAGUAAUUGGCAGCCGGCCUACUGGUUUCGGAGCGCAGCACAAGUCGCACUCUCUAUCAGCAAAGGUCUAGCAUCCAUUAAGCCUUUUUUUCAACUUUUGACCUCGGAUCAGGUAGGGAUACCCGCUGAACUUAAGCAUAUCAAUAAGGCGGAGGAA